rnacentral:rRNA from 1 species
AACGAACGCUGGCGGCAGGCCUAACACAUGCAAGUCGAGCGCCCUUUCGGGGGAGCGGCGGACGGGUGAGUAACGCGUGAGAAUAUGCCCUUCUCUACGGAAUAGCCUCGGGAAACUGAGAGUAAUACCGUAUACGCCCUGUGGGGGAAAGAUUUAUCGGGGAAGGAUUAGCCCGCGUUGGAUUAGGUAGUUGGUGGGGUAAUGGCCUACCAAGCCGACGAUCCAUAGCUGGUUUGAGAGGAUGAUCAGCCACACUGGGACUGAGACACGGCCCAGACUCCUACGGGAGGCAGCAGUGGGGAAUCUUAGACAAUGGGGGCAACCCUGAUCUAGCCAUGCCGCGUGAGUGAUGAAGGCCUUAGGGUUGUAAAGCUCUUUCAGCUGGGAAGAUAAUGACGGUACCAGCAGAAGAAGCCCCGGCUAACUCCGUG